rnacentral:rRNA from 1 species
GACGAACGCUGGCGGCGUGCUUAACACAUGCAAGUCGAACGGGAAGGCCGGGCUUUGGUGGGGUGGGGGGGGGGCGAACGGGUGAGUAACACGUGAGUAACGUAUACCUGACUGUGGGAUGAGUUAAGGAAAGUGGGGGUAAUACCGGAUAGGAGCUCCUGCUGCAUGGUGGGGGUUGGAUGGUUUCGGCGGUUGGGGAUGGACUCGCGGCUUAUCAGGUUGUUGGUGGGGUAGUGGCUUACCAUGGCCUGGACGGGUAGCCGGCCUGAGAGGGUGACAGGCCACAUUGGGACUGAGAUACGGCCCAGACUCCUACGGGAGGCAGCAGUGGGGAAUAGUGCACAAUGGGCGGAAGCCUGAUGCAGCAACGCCGCGUGCGGGAUGACGGCCUUCGGGUUGUAAACCGCUUCCGCCUGUGACGAAGCGUGAGUGACGGUAAUGGGUAAAGAAGCACCGGCUAACUACGUG